UGGAUAGAUUAUUGUAUUUGACUGUAUUCACGGCGUGAAAUAGGGGAUUACAUUACUUUUAAAACGGAAAGUGAAUCAAUUAACAUAAUAGACUCCC
rnacentral:pre_miRNA from 1 species